GACGAACGCUGGCGGCGUGCUUAACACAUGCAAGUCGAACGGAAAGGCCCUGCUUUUGUGGGGUGCUCGAGUGGCGAACGGGUGAGUAACACGUGAGUAACCUGCCCUUGACUUUGGGAUAACUUCAGGAAACUGGGGCUAAUACCGGAUAGGAGCUCCUGCUGCAUGGUGGGGGUUGGAAAGUUUCGGCGGUUGGGGAUGGACUCGCGGCUUAUCAGCUUGUUGGUGGGGUAGUGGCUUACCAAGGCUUUGACGGGUAGCCGGCCUGAGAGGGUGACCGGCGACAUUGGUACUGAGAUACGGCCCAGAGUCCUACGGGAGGCAGCAGUGGGGAAUAUUGCACAAUGGGCGGAAGCCGGAUGCAGCAACGCCGCGUGCGGGAUGACGUCCUUCGGGUUGUAAACCGCUUUCGCCUGUGACGAAGCGUGAGUGACGGUAAUGGGUAAAGAAGCACCGGCUAACUACGUG
rnacentral:rRNA from 1 species